GGAGCUAUUUUUAACGCUCUAAAUCUCCAUAUUCAAACCAAAAAUCUCGAUUUCGAUGAUCGUUCAAAUGCUUUUACUGUGAUAUACAGGAUAUAUUACAAGCUCAUGAAUACUCAACUCAAUAUUGGUGCUUUACGUUCAUCUCCUAAAGAUGAAAGUAUUUUGGUUGAAUGUAAUCAUUUUCAUUCAAAUACCAUGAUUCCCAAGAGAAUUCCUUGGAAUAUUCAAAGUCGUGGACUAGAAUGGAAUUUUGAAAAUGUUCAAAAUCCUAUUCCUGCUCCUGUACAAACAAUUCCAAAUCAAAUUCUUACUUUUCCAGAUGGAAACGUCAAAAUGACUUUCAAUAGAUCUUCCUCUAGGUUUCAUAGAUCUUAUUCUUCGAGAUCUGAAGAUAAACCUUGAUCUUCUUAUCAAUCUGCAAGAUUUUCAACAUCUUCUCUUUCAGGUGUUGAUUUUUCUCCAAAAAUUUCAAAGCCUCAAUAUUCUGAAAAAGAUACAAAAAAAGAAGAAUCUAAACAACCUGCUUCCCCAACUUUUUCUGAUAUGUUUUCUACUCAAAAUGAAAGACUUGAUUAUCAAACAAAUGUUAUUUCUUCUACGAUUGACAGAAUAAAUGAAUUCAAAACUGAUCAAACUCCUGACGUUAAAAGUUUUCGAAAAAUAUUUCGUCAAAGUUUUUCAAAAGAAGAACGAGAAUCUUAUUGGGAAGAAUUUGAAGAAUUUCCUGAAAAUUUAAGUUUUUAUGAAUGGACUUAUUUCAAAGUUUUCAAUGAAAAACCUACUUUUUCAAAGAUUUCUUCA
rnacentral:lncRNA from 1 species